UCCCACGUAGCUCAGUCAGUAAAGCAUCUGCCUUCAAUGCAGGAGACCUGGGUUCAAUUCCUGCAUCGGGA
rnacentral:tRNA from 1 species